ensembl:lncRNA
CAUGGAUGAUGAUUUCAAGACUUGCUGCUAUCGAAUACAGAUCGCCCCGUGAUCAAUUUGAUAGAUUAUUAACGUUUAUUAAUACCUAAAGUUGGUUUAGAAAAGUAGUUUGAAGUGAUUUGUAAAAGUUUAUAGGAAACUUUUGUAAUUUUAAAAAGUGACGUUGCGUCUUGUAAAGGGGAUUUUUCCUGGAUCAGACCGGCCUUCAGAAAAUGACAUUUUGGGUUUACAAUGACGGAUUUAAUCGGGAAAAAGACCCAAUUGUGAUGUUUAUGGGACAUAUAGGAGUGCCAACAAAGAAGCUCGUCAAAGAUUUUGUCAGACAGGGACUUCGCACCUAUGGAUGAUUUUGCCUUUAUUGGAGCACACUUCAUAACACCUGCCUUCAUCCACGGUCGGAAGCAGUUGCCAGGGAAAGAGAGAGGGUGAUAGCCACAUAACCUGCCCCUGGUUAAGAACCUGAAGGAUGAGAGUGAAGACAAAGAAGAGGCAACACUCGUCAAAAUCAACAAGACUGGCAGUGUGGUUAAACUGCAAUACCACUGCCUGCCCUACUGCAGCUGACGCCUGCCCUCCUGCUGCUGCCUGCACUGCUGAUGCCUGCCACACUGCUGCUGAUUCCUGUGCUACUGUUGCCUGUACUGCUGAUGCCUACCCUGCUGAUGCCUACCCUGGUGCUGCCUGCCAUCCUGCCUGCAUUGCCAUUACCACUGGGGACCAUGCCUCAGGAAUACCUGGCCUGAUGACUCCUUGCUGUCCCCAGUCCACCUGGCUGUGCUGCUGCUCCAGUUCAAACUGUUUUGCCGGUGGCUAUGGAACCCUGACCUGUUCACCGGGUGUGCUACCUUGUCCCAGACCUGUGGUUUUAAUUUUUAUUUCACUUUUUUUAACCAGGUAGGCUAGUUG